rnacentral:rRNA from 1 species
UACGUAGGGUGCAAGCGUUGUCCGGAAUUACUGGGCGUAAAGGGCUCGUAGGCUGCCAACUAAGUCAGACGUGAAAUCCCUCGGCUUAACCGGGGAACUGCGUCUGAUACUGGAUGGCUUGAGGUUGGGAGAGGGAUGCGGAAUUCCAGGUGUAGCGGUGAAAUGCGUAGAUAUCUGGAGGAACACCGGUGGCGAAGGCGGCAUCCUGGACCAAUUCUGACGCUGAGGAGCGAAAGCCAGGGGAGCAAACGGGG